rnacentral:rRNA from 1 species
AGUCGAACGCGAAAGGCUCCUUCGGGGGCCGAGUAGAGUGGCGCACGGGUGAGUAACACGUAGGUAAUUUGCCUUCGGGUGGGGAAUAACAGCCGGAAACGGCUGCUAAUACCGCAUAAUGCAGCGGCUCGACAUCGAGACAGUUGUUAAAGCGGGGGAUCGCAAGACCUCGCGCCUGAAGAGAAGCCUGCGGCAGAUUAGCUAGUUGGUAGGGUAAUGGCUUACCAAGGCGACGAUCUGUAACCGGCCUGAGAGGGCGGUCGGUCACACUGACACUGACAUACGGGUCAGACUCCUACGGGAGGCAGCAGUCGGGAAUUUUGGGCAAUGGGCGAAAGCCUGACCCAGCAACGCCGCGUGAAGGAUGAAAUCCCUCGGGAUGUAAACUUCGCAAGAAUGGGAAGAAUAAGUAGAGGCGAAUACCCUUUAUGAUGACGGUACCAUUUGUAAGCUCCGGCUAACUUCGUGCCAGCAGCCGCGGUAACACGAGGGGAGCAAGCGUUGUUCGGAUUUACUGGGCGUAAAGGGCGCGUAGGCGGCCACGACAAGUCACUUGUGAAAUCUCCGGGCUUAACUCGGAACGGUCAAGUGAUACUGUCGGGCUAGAGUACAGAAGGGGCAACUGGAAUUCUCGGUGUAGCGGUGAAAUGCGUAGAUAUCGAGAGGAACACCUGCGGCGAANGCGGGUUGCUGGGCUGAUACUGACGCUGAUGCGCGAAAGCCAGGGGAGCGAACGGGAUUAGAUACCCCGGUAGUCCUGGCCUUAAACGAUGAAUGCUUGGUGUCUCGGGUUACAUAGUCCCGGGGUGCCGUCGCUAACGCUUUUAGCAUUCCGCCUGGGGAGUACGGUCGCAAGACUGAAACUCAAAGGAAUUGACGGGGACCCGC